UACGUAGGGUGCAAGCGUUAAUCGGAAUUACUGGGCGUAAAGCGUGCGCAGGCGGUUUUGUAAGUCAGAUGUGAAAUCCCCGGGCUUAACCUGGGAACUGCGUUUGAAACUACAAGGCUAGAGUGUGGCAGAGGGGGGUGGAAUUCCAGGUGUAGCGGUGAAAUGCGUAGAUAUCUGGAGGAACACCGGUGGCGAAGGCGGCAUCCUGGACCGGCAUUGACGCUGAGGAGCGAAAGCCAGGGGAGCAAACGGG
rnacentral:rRNA from 1 species